UAGGGAAUCUUCGGCAAUGGGGGGAACCCUGACCGAGCAACGCCGCGUGAUUUAGAAGGCCUUCGGGUUGUAAAAAUCUUUUCUAUGGGAAGAAAAUGACAGUACCAUAGGAAUAAGGACCGGCUAAUUACGUGCCAGCAGCCGCGGUAAUACGUAAGGUCCGAGCGUUGUCCGGAAUCAUUGGGCGUAAAGGGUACGUAGGCGGGUAAGCAAGUUAGAAGUGAAAUCCUGUAGCUCAACUACAGUAAGCUUUUAAAACUGCUCAUCUUGAGAUAUGGAAGGGAAAGUGGAAUUCCUAGUGUAGCGGUGAAAUGCGCAGAUAUUAGGAGGAAUACCGGUGGCGAAGGCGACUUUCUGGCCAUAAUCUGACGCUGAGGUACGAAAGCGUGGGUAGCAAACAGG
rnacentral:rRNA from 1 species